AGCUCUGUUUGCAGUACCUAAAAAUUACAAACUUGUUGCUGCCCGUUGUUCGAACUAUAUGAUAAUUCCCAAGGUUAUGGGCCCAUUAUAUCUUCCUUACCACAGGCAUUAUGCAGGUUUAACUUCACUUACAUGUAGAGCUUCAUUGUGAGUAUUUUUUCAUAAUGGAAAGACAGUUGAAGUAAAAAUCUUUUGAUGCACUGCAGAUAUUUUCAUAGACAAAGAUGCAAGUUUUCUCACGUACAAUGGUAUUUUACAUGAACAUGUGAGAAGUAUGGAUAAUGAAAGUUGCAGUGAAUUUAUUAAGUCAAACCGAAUGUGGUGUGUAAAUGUUUUAAUGAUUAUCUUGUCAUCUUAUCCAGUGUUCAAAACAUUUACCUGUGUGACUUUUCACCUUGAUGCUGAAAUUUAUAUAUUUUCAUGAUUAAUUCAAGCCUUAGAUUUUGACCUCAUUUCAAGGAACCAUUUUCAUUUCAUUGUUUUUCUGUGAACAUAGAGUUAUAAGAAUUUCAAUUCUUGUGCUGCUCGAUAUGUUUUUUUGUUGAAAGCUCGGGAUACACCUUGGUUACUUUGUAUACACUUAAUUCUACAUUUAAUUACAAUAAUCCUAUAAGCCUUCCACUGUAUUUACUGGAAAGCAUUUCAGAAUUUCUCACUAUUUUUCCUGUACUGGAAAGCAUUUCAGAAUUUCGCACUAUUUUUCCUGUAUUUGUACUAAAUACAUACAAAGAACCAGUACUGUAGAUAGCAACAUGAAGUAAGUAACAAGUGUAUGAAUUUGUGUGAUAUUGUACAAGGCAGUGUGAAAAAUGCUUAUGUUCACUUCCCAAACUCAGUGGAUUGUGUGUUUUCAAAGAUUUUGAUAAAUACUUCAGGAGUUCCAGUUCAAAAAUGUAUUUUGUACAUUGUCUCCUAGUAAAUGUAGUUACAUUCAAUAACCUCUUACAUGGUCAGAUUGCUAUGUUGAAUUAUUUUGUGAGUAUUAUUUGUCAUUCCACUUCUUAGUAUAAUGACGUGAAAAUUAAGGUGUAUGAAAGAGAAUUAAAGUUUUUUAGGUGAAAA